AUACAAAGGCAGAGCGAAGCUUUAAGCUCCCGUGACCUCGCUUACCUUGGGCUGCGUUCCGCUGUUCAGUUCUUAUCUCCUCCCUCACAGUCAUCAAGAUAUAAAGACUCCUCGCUGCAUUUCCUCGUUUUUCUCUCUUUUGUGACGAAAUGGCAUCGGUGCAAGCUACUAGUUUGUCCUCUGCUGUGUGCAAAAAUGGAAGCCAUAAGUUUCCAAGCGGCUCCUUCUUGCCGGGGUUUGAUGGUGUGCUUGGGCGUGGAUCUCUUAAGAAGGAAAUAUGGCCUCGUUCUUUGGCGACAUCUGUUCCUAGGGCCACCUUAACCUUUGAUCCUCCAACAACAAAUUCAGAUAAAGCUAAGCAGAGGAAACAUACUGUUGAUCCUUCUUCUCCUGAUUUCCUUCCUCUUCCCUCCUUCGAACAAUGUUUUCCAAGAAGCACCAAAGAAUACAGGGAAAUUGUUCAUGAAGAAUCCGGUCACGUCCUCAAAGUUCCUUUCAGACGGGUCCACUUGUCUGGGGAUGAACCCAGUUUUGAUAAUUAUGAUACCAGUGGUCCUCAAAACAUUAGUCCCCGUAUCGGAAUUCCUAAACUGAGGAAAGACUGGGUUGAUAGGCGUGAGAAGCUAGGCGCACCAAGAUACAGUCAGAUGUACUAUGCGAAGCAAGGAAUAAUAACAGAGGAAAUGUUAUAUUGUGCUGCUCGUGAGAAGCUUGACCCAGAGUUUGUCAGGUCAGAGGUUGCUCGUGGACGGGCAAUAAUCCCUUCGAACAAGAAGCACCUGGAGUUGGAGCCAAUGAUUGUUGGAAGAAAUUUUUUGGUCAAAGUCAAUGCAAAUAUUGGAAAUUCUGCUGUGGCAAGCUCUAUUGAGGAAGAAGUUUAUAAGGUUCAAUGGGCAACCAUGUGGGGUGCUGACACUGUCAUGGACCUCUCAACUGGUCGGCACAUCCAUGAGACCCGUGAGUGGAUCUUACGAAACUCUGCUGUACCGGUUGGAACUGUGCCCAUCUAUCAAGCACUUGAAAAAGUUAAUGGAAUUGCUGAAAAUCUGAGCUGGGAAGUCUUCAGAGACACAUUGAUUGAACAAGCUGAGCAGGGUGUAGACUAUUUCACUAUCCAUGCUGGGGUUCUUCUACGAUACAUUCCUUUAACUGCUAAACGCAUGACAGGAAUUGUUUCUCGUGGAGGAUCAAUUCAUGCAAAGUGGUGCUUAGCUUAUCACAAGGAGAAUUUUGCAUAUGAACACUGGGAUGACAUACUUGACAUCUGUAAUCAAUAUGAUGUGGCACUUUCGAUCGGUGAUGGGCUGAGACCUGGGUCCAUAUAUGAUGCCAAUGACACUGCUCAGUUUGCAGAGCUCUUGACUCAAGGGGAACUAACCCGUAGAGCAUGGGAGAAGGAUGUACAGGUGAUGAAUGAAGGACCUGGCCAUAUUCCUAUGCACAAAAUCCCAGAGAACAUGCAAAAACAGCUCGAAUGGUGCAAUGAAGCACCUUUCUACACUCUUGGACCCCUGACAACUGAUAUUGCUCCUGGAUAUGAUCACAUUACCUCUGCCAUUGGUGCUGCCAACAUUGGGGCUCUUGGCACUGCACUUCUCUGUUAUGUCACACCAAAGGAGCAUCUUGGGUUGCCAAAUAGGGAUGAUGUGAAGGCAGGUGUUAUAGCAUAUAAGAUAUCUGCACAUGCAGCUGAUUUAGCAAAAGGUCACCCUCAUGCUCAAGCCUGGGAUGAUGCAUUAAGCAAGGCCCGAUUUGAGUUCAGAUGGAUGGACCAAUUUGCUUUAUCCUUGGACCCCAUGACUGCAAUGUCCUUCCAUGAUGAAACCCUGCCAUCAGAAGGUGCAAAAGUAGCACAUUUUUGCUCCAUGUGUGGGCCGAAGUUCUGCUCUAUGAAGAUAACAGAGGAUGUGCGAAAGUAUGCGGAAGAGCAUGGUUAUGGUAGUGCAGAGGAAGCUGUGCAGCACGGGAUGGAUGCCAUGAGUGCUGAGUUCCUGGCUGCUAAGAAAACUGUUAGUGGAGAACAACAUGGUGAAGUUGGUGGGGAAAUCUACCUGCCAGCAAGUUAUAUUAAAUCCUCUAAGAGGAGCAUGUGAGGGGGAAGAUUUGGUUAAGUCAUCAUUGGAACUGUGAUGCAUGUCUGAGUUGUGAGGAUGAUGGAUAUGCUGAUUUGCUUUCCAGAUGCAGGGGUGCCUGUAUCUGCUUUAAUACUGGCCAUUUUGGCCAGAGGAUAGAGCUGGUCAGGCUGAGAAAGUCCCUUUGAACCUGAACAGGAUAAUGCCUGCGUAGGGAGUGUGCAUUUUCUUUUCCCUUUUUCUGUUCUUGCACAGGGAGGCAGCUUCCUAUGGCUCGGGCUAGCUGAUCCAUAUGUGCAGAAUCAAUCGCCAUUGAGCCCAGGAUUAUCACUUGAGCGGCUGCAACGUCAUCAUGGCUGGCAGUUUAUGCAAUUCUUCAACCAAUAUUUUAAAUAGUAAAGAGAAAAUUUGACAAGGCUUGCUUGAUCAGCCAUUUAUUGGAUUUUGGUCAAUCCAUGGUACGAUCACUAAAAUAAUAAAAAUUUCGUAUAUCCGAUAUAACAAGUGAAUAUUUUGGA